CCCUGUUCGGAGAGCUGCUGUCACUGGCUCCCUUCACUGAGGGCCCUGCUAUAAUAAAGGCUGUUUCUCAGUGGAAUGCCAUACAGCUCUCUAGUCUCUCUCCGUGUCGCCUGCACGCUGCCUCUGAGCUGAGCUCACUCGCCGGGCAGAGGACGUGCCUGUGCCCCUGGGCAGUCCUUCUCAGGACGGCUUCUUCAGGGUAGUUGCGGCACCCCUGUCAUGGACACUGCCGCGGCAGGACCCACCACAGAUUACCAGGGACUGAAGAGAUAAUGUGAGAAGUUUUCUUGAGAAAUUACUAAACAUUCAAGAAGCAUUUUAUGAUUCCGAAUCUGCAAAAGAGCAGGUGCAUGUUAAUGAAUCUACCGCCUGUGCUAGACUUCAGUCACUAACAGAUCUCCCCGCCUUGUACAAAACUGAAACCUAAGUCGCCUACUGUGUCCUGAUGACAGCAUCCAUUUGGGAUUUAGGAAUUACUGCAACAGUCAGAAAGUUCUGACAACAGCAUAUCACUUAAAAAGAAAGGAGACUUUGGAAAAUAAACUCCAGCUUCAAGAAACUGCGAGGGGAUCUGAAGGCAGACUCUGCUGGAAUGUCAGAACACUGUGUACCAACCCUGCUCUGCAGCAGGCUGAACACGGGAGAGCUGCCCGUGACACUGCCUCACCAACGUCUCUGACAACUCAGAAAGGAGGGUUUGGUUUUCAAAAUGAAUGGCUUUGUCCAACUGCCACAGAAAUUCCAUCCUCCCAAAAAUGCCAUUUCUUAUGGGCCAUUUGCCACAAAGCACAGAAAUGACAUGCAAGUUUUCAGCAGGAAGGUAGGGGCUAGUCUACACCUGGCUGGAAAUUAACACAUAACCAAGGAAUUAGAAAAACACUGCUAUAGUAGAACAUUUAUAGCAUUUUUAUGUGAACAUCUGAUAAUGUCUGUAAUAAAGUAAAGCAAAUCAAAUCUGCCAUUUGUUUCACACUACCUCUAUUCACAUGAGGCUGACAGUUCCCAGGAUCAGCUACUCCAACAGGACAUAGUGACAUCCAGAAAGACAGAACUUACAAAGCACCGCAUUGAAACACAUUACACUCCAGAAAACCCGUCACAGAAAGCACUGGGAAUCCAAAGUGAGAACUCUGUCCCUUCUUCUGUGAUUUUCAUACCAAACAAAAAUCCCUACCAAAAAAAUCUGAGGCAAAGAGUGGAAACCACAACCUCGGUGCGGAGUUUGAAAUGUAUGCAGUUUGUCUAUUCUAACAAGCUCAUACAGCUGCAAUUUUGCUGUUACAAUACAGUCCCUAUUGCUAGUGCC